GAAGCGUUACGGUGUCGUUUGCUGUGUUAGAAAACCUAGACGGAGGAGAUGGCGAAGAAGCGAUCAGCGCCGGUGGGCGGUCGUCGGGAAAACCGAGUGGAACCGCCUCCACCACAGGUCAACUCAGCUUCCGGUCGCAGAAAUCUCGUUGUCUUCUUUAUCAUAUCGUCCAUUAUUGCUACCGUCGCUUACCGGUUCAGACAAUCUUCUCCUCCGCAAUACCAAGAAUUGUAUGUGUAUGAGCAAGGCCUUGUCACAAUCCAUGCUAAUUACCAGGAUGUACUCACCGAAAAUUCCAAAGUAUCAGAAAAUACCUCUCAGCGCCAUUAUAAUUAUCCUGUGCUUGGCUACAUUACUCCCUGGAAUUCUCGAGGUUAUGAAUUGGCAAAAAGGUUCAACUCUAAAUUCACACAUAUAUCACCCGUUUGGUAUGAUCUAAAGAGGUAUGUACCUCAGUUCCAAAUGACUUAUUGAAGUAAUAGAGGGGUGGGUGCAGAGUUAAGACCUAUGACCUGUGUGAUGUGUAAUUCUCCUUCUACCUUUUCAUUAGAACUUUCAACUCUAAUUUGCAGCACUAAAAAAUUUCUACAAAUUUUGGUUUCUCAAGUUUUCUGCCUACCAUUAAUUUUUCUACAAAUUAUGACCUGACAUGGUUCCUUUUGGGAGAAGAAACAAUAUCCAGGGCUCACUUUAACCGACAUCACAGCCUCCUUGAGGAUCAGCAGAAUAUUUUUAAUCCUCACAUACUUCAUAAUUUAUUCACUGCAAUGAAAUUCUGUUGUUAUUGCCAGCCAACAGACUAGCUUAGUUCUAGAGGGGAGACAUAAUGCUGACAGAGGAUGGAUCUCAGAGCUUAGAAAGUCAGGAGAAGCUUUGGUACAGUGAAUUAUUGUCAACUUUUAGACUUAUUUUCAUUUCAUUCAUUACUGGAAAAUUAAAUGCCCCUUUAUCCAUAAUUUUUUGCUGGUCUUAUUUUCACUUUGAAAGCUUUUUACAUGAUAACAUUUUUUAUUUUGGAUUUGUAAACUAGAAAAU